rnacentral:rRNA from 1 species
AAACGAACGCUGGCGGCAGGCCUAACACAUGCAAGUCGAACGCUCGUAGCAAUACGGGAGUGGCAGACGGGUGCGUAACGCGUGGGAACAUACCCUUUGGUUCGGAAUAACUCAGGGAAACUUGAGCUAAUACCGGAUACGCCCGAGAGGGGAAAGAUUUAUUGCCCGAAGGAUUGGCCCGCGUCUGAUUAGCUUGUUGGUAGGGUAACGGCCUACCAAGGCGACGAUCAGUAGCUGGUCUGAGAGGAUGAUCAGCCACACUGGGACUGAGACACGGCCCAGACUCCUACGGGAGGCAGCAGUGGGGAAUAUUGGACAAUGGGCGCAAGCCUGAUCCAGCCAUGCCGCGUGAGUGAUGACGGCCCUAGGGUUGUAAAGCUCUUUUACCCGGGAAGAUAAUGACGGUACCGGGAGAAUAAGCCCCGGCUAACUUCGUG